rnacentral:rRNA from 1 species
AGUGAACGCUGGCGGCAGGCCUAACACAUGCAAGUCGAACGAGAGGCGGACGGGUGAGGAAUACAUUGGAAUCUACUCUGCCUUGGGGGAUAACGUAGGGAAACUUACGCUAAUACCGCAUACGAUUGAAUGAGCCGAUGUGGGAUUAGCUAGCUGGCGGGGUAAAGGCACACCAAGGCGACGAUGCGUAGCUGGUCUGAGAGGAUGAUCGGCCACACUGGAACUGAGACACGGUCCAGACUCCUACGGGAGGCAGCAGUGGGGAAUAUUGGACAAUGGGCGCAAGCCUGAUCCAGCCAUACCGCGUGAGUGAAGAAGGUCUUCGGGUUGUAAAGCCCUUUUGUUAGGAAAGCGGUACCCAAAGAGUAAGCACCGGCUAACUUCGUGCCAGCCGCCGCGGUAAUUC